rnacentral:rRNA from 1 species
CCUACGGAUGGCUGCAGUGAGGAAUAUUGGUCAAUGGACGAGAGUCUGCACCAGCCAAGCAGCGUGAAGGAUGACUGCUCUAUGGGUUGUAAACUUCUUUUAUAUGGGAAUAAAACAGGGUAUGCAUACCCUCUUGUAUGUACCAUAUGAAUACGGAUCGGCUAACUCCGUGCCAGCAGCCGCGGUAAUACGGAGGAUCCGAGCGUUAUCCGGAUUGAUUGGGUGUAAAGGGAGCGUAGGUGGAUUGUUAAGUCAGUAGUGAAAGUUUGAGGCUCAACCGUGGAAUUGCAGUUGAAACUGGCAGACUUGAGUACAGGAGAGGUGAGCGGAAUUCGUGGUGUAGCGGUGAAAUGCGUAGAUAUCACGAAGAACUCCGGUUGCGAAGGCAGCUUACUGGACUGCAACUGACACUGAGGCUCGAAAGUGUGGGGAGCAAACAGGAUUAGAUACCCGGGUAGUC